UACAGGGGAUGCAAGUGUUAUCCGGAAUUAUUGGGCGUAAAGCGUCUGCAGGUUGAUAAAUAAGUCCUUUGUUAAAUCUCUGAGCUCAACUCAGAAUCUGCAAAAGAAACUAUUUAUCUUGAGUAUGGUAGAGGUAAGGGGAAUUUCCAGUGGAGCGGUGAAAUGCGUAGAUAUUGGAAAGAACACCAACAGCGAAGGCACCUUACUGGGCCAGUACUGACACUCAGAGACGAAAGCUAGGGGAGCAAACGGG
rnacentral:rRNA from 1 species